CAGUCGCCACGGUAAUACAGAGGGUGCAAGCGUUAAUCGGAAUUACUGGGCGUAAAGCGCGCGUAGGUGGUUUGUUAAGUUGGAUGUGAAAGCCCCGGGCUCAACCUGGGAACUGCAUCCAAAACUGGCAAGCUAGAGUACGGUAGAGGGUGGUGGAAUUUCCUGUGUAGCGGUGAAAUGCGUAGAUAUAGGAAGGAACACCAGUGGCGAAGGCGACCACCUGGACUGAUACUGACACUGAGGUGCGAAAGCGUGGGGAGCAAACAGGAUUAGAUACCCGGGUAGUCCCUGUCUCUUAUAC
rnacentral:rRNA from 1 species